rnacentral:rRNA from 1 species
UACGAACCACGCAAACGUUAUUCGGAAUUACUGGGCUUAAAGGGUGCGUAGGCUGCGCAGAAAGUCGGGGGUGAAAUCCCUCGGCUCAACCGAGGAACUGCGUCCAAAACUACUGUGCUCGAGGGAGACAGAGGUGAGCGGAACUUAGGGUGGAGCGGUGAAAUGCGUUGAUAUCCUAAGGAACACCCGUGGCGAAAGCGGCUCACUGGGUCUCUUCUGACGCUGAGGCACGAAAGCUAGGGUAGCGAACGGG